CCUUCUUUCCCAUGGCACGGUUCCCUUUUCCAAAACCGCCCCACGUUGCUUGCGCAGGUCAUGGAACAAACAGAGAGAGCGAAGAGAAGCGCGGCGGCCAUGCCUGCUGUGGUUGGAUCUAGACAAGGGGUUUGCCACCGGCCCCGUUCGUUGUGCUGGCCAUAGAAGAGAGACAGAGAUUGAAGGGAAGCACGGCGGCGAUGCCGUUCAUUGCGAAGGACAUGGCGUCGCCGGUGCGGCGACCUGGCUGCGGCCGCCGUCGCCGACCCACUCCACGCGCGGCCUGCCCUUCCCCGACGCCCACCGCGUACCGCCGCCCCACUCUUCCGCGCCUCCAAUGUCGCCUCCCUUCACACCGAUGCUGGGGAUGCGCUGCACCGGCAGCUCCCCUCCAUCCUUGCCGCUACUAAUCCAUCUAAUGUCGCCUCUCUGCAUCCUGUAGAGGGGUCGAACUAGACACCGCAGUCCGCAGACACGACGGACUGGACACAAUUGACGAGUUCUUUUGUGCUGCUCUCUGAUUGUCGCUUGUCCAUGUUGCCAGACGAGCAGAGGCGUGGUAGCGGCCAAGGCGAGAACUAUGGGAAGCUGAAGUCGCCUGCGUGUUUGUGUUCAUCACAGAAGGAAGAAGCAUGGUGUCCGCCGCCGGGGACAUGGACGCAUGCGGGGGAGCAGCCGCAGAUUCAGGACCUUCUAUCGAUCUGUUGUGCCUUGAAGUUUGCGUUUAUCUUUGAGAAAUUCUGCCCCAUCCUCAGUCAUAUGUAUGCUUUGAUCUAUUUUUCAUGUUGUUUUCUUGGGUCUUUGUUCUUGGUUAUUGGGCUUGGAGUGCUCUCUACAGCCCUUCACAACUCCCAAAAACCCACAUGUAUUUGAUGUAAGACGCUUUAACCUAUUCUCUAAUGUACAUGCAGUCUGAAAUCCAUUGCCAAUUUGGCUUUAGGAAAAUUCAGUCGCACAAGAAGCAAGGCUAAGUUGUACUCCUAAUUGGUAUUGUUCUUAAGCACACCCCAAAAUGAUGUGUAUCAAUUGCAUAUUUUUCUGAAGCUACUAAACCAUUACUGGAUUUUUGCAGUUUUUUAUUUCAAAAUAUGUCUCUCCUUCGAAGUCAUUUUUUCCUUCUACUGAAUGUUCUUCUGAAAGAGAAUCUCAACAGAGCAAUCGGAAGGAGGAGAAAGCAGCCAGAGAGGAGAAGCUUAGAACAAGGUACAUGCAUCAGAUUAACUCCUAUACCUGAACCAAUAUACCUUUUUAUGAUUGAAUUAAAUAAAACAAGUAUUUAUAUAUUUCUUCAGAUCAACGGAUUCUAAUAAUAUUCCGGCAUGCAAAUAAUUUUUCCAUAUGUUUGACUACAUUGUGUUGCUGUGCAAAUAUGCAGAGAAGGAUCUCAUUUUUGGGGGCAUGGUUACGUGAAUCGACGUGUUAUCUUGACCAAAUAUCUUCUUACUAUUUGUACAGUGCUGCAAAAUGUAUAGGCUGGUCACCACUUUUACUCAGUUUCAUUAUAUAUAUAUCGCAUCACAGCAGCAGCCGCUGACCAUCCCCGAGGAAACCACCACGUCGCUCCCUACCGAAUCGUGAUCAUCCUGGGUAUCCCGUUUGCUACCAUGGGCGCUCAGAUAGAGCUCAUGGUACUCUCUUGAUGCACAUAAAACGAUCUUCUCAAUUUGUGUUUUGAGGAAUCAAUGGCCUGAAUCAUCAUAGUGCAGAUGCCAAUAACUUGCAGAGACACCAAGGUUAAUGCAAUUGUCGAGACAUUGGUGUAUUGUGAUGUAUUGUAUAAUAUGGUUCCAGCAUAUGACCAAGUGAGAGGGAUUGACAAUACAUUAUAUUUUCAUGCAAUCGCUACAAGAACAUUAUAUCAGAUCUUCUCAAUCACGUACAGUCCUACCCAACAUUUUAUGUUGCUGCAUGUUGACUACACCAGUCUGAGGCAAGCUGCAGGAGUAUGGUACCUUUCUCUUCCAACGUCGCCAGACAAGUGACGUAGGAGGUCGUCAAGCAGCUACAGUUCUUCGCCGAUGAGGUAGUGGACGGCGUUUCUCCUGUUUGGGCCACCAGGUAUGGGUGUCCUACUUGGUGAAAGUCAUCACGGCAGAGGCUGAUUUCAUCUUCCGAAUGUGAGUGUUGCUUAAAUUUGAGCCCCACAAUUCACUCUCCUGCAAUUUAAGCCUUAUUAUUGUUCCAACAGAAACAGAGCACAUGGAUAAUUUCCUCAAGAAAAUGUUGAAUUGUGAUCCUAAAUCGAUUCUUUAUUUAUGAUUAAUUGCAUGUUCAUAUUCUGGUUCUUGUUGCAUAUUGUGAUGCCAAAACUCUUUGAUUGGGAUAGCAACAGUAGCAAGGUGAAUGUACGAGUAUAUUGUUGUUAGUUUGAUUGUGUGUGGUAGGAUGGCUGGGUAUUUGGAAAGCAAAACUCUUUCCACUUUUGCAGCUAGGCUGGUGUGGAUCAUAUUGUUCCUGUCACAUUGAUUUUGUCGGCAAAAUUGAGGAACCUGGAGAAGAUGCCCUUAGAUAUCAUCGAAUACUACCGAAAAUAGCAAUUUUGCAUGAUGUGGAGACAUAACUAUCGCCUUCUUGAUGUUUUAUGCCUUUUUCAUGUAGCCGAAGUGACGACGAAUGAGUGAAGGGUUGCAGUGCAAACUCCUCGGUGCUUUUUACAUAUGUCAUUGUACUUACGAUUUCCUGAAUAUUUUAUAAAAUAGUGAAGGAUAUCUUGGAACGAUGAUGUU